GCUUGCUUUCUUUGCUGGCGACCGGCGCACGGGUGAGUAACACGUAUCCAACCUACCCUUUACUCGGGGAUAGCCUUUCGAAAGAAAGAUUAACACCCGAUAGCAUAAUGAUUCCGCAUGGUUUCAUUAUUAAAGGAUUCCGGUAAAGGAUGGGGAUGCGUUCCAUUAGGUUGUUGGUGGGGUAACGGCCCACCAAGCCUUCGAUGGAUAGGGGUUCUGAGAGGAAGGUCCCCCACAUUGGAACUGAGACACGGUCCAAACUCCUACGGGAGGCAGCAUG
rnacentral:rRNA from 1 species